rnacentral:lncRNA from 1 species
CCCAGAGUCUGUUUUAUUUAUGUUUUUUGUAUCCUAUCUUUAUAGUAGGAGACUUGGGAGUGCUCUCCUGUAGGAUCCAAGACUUCUCAUCUUUCCGAUGCGAACUGAAUUAUGCUAGCAUGUCAACCAGGACAUUUCAGAGAAGCAUCGAACAGAAACGUGUUAGUAAACCUCUUACCAGAACACCCUCACUAUCGAUUUUUUUUUGUCACUAAAACACAAACCAGCAUGGGACAUUAAACAGGACCUUUGGUAUUUGGUGUUGGGAAAAUGCCCCCUUGGAUCUAGAGCUCUUUAGGAGUAAUGGCUUCCCGAAAAGAACUAUAGAGAAAAAGAAGGCAGAAUAACCCAGGUGCCUGAGCAUCUUUGAGGAGGCCCCGAUGUGACUACCUGAAACCAGUCUAUGUCAGCACUUCUUGCUACCUGAGAUAUACAUUAUUCAUGGUUUAAGCCAUUCUGAGUCAGGACUUUUUUUUUAUUGAAACUCGGAGCUGGAAAUAGCCAAGUUUACCCACCAAGAAUAACAUCUGGAUUAUGAACCCUGGAAAUAUAACCACUGUCAUUUUGUGUCCCUGGACUAUAUUAAGCUCUACCACAUGGUUUCCAACUUGAGAGUCACUUAGGUUGUCUGUACAGGUGUAUGAGGAAAAGAAAAUCUUAUUUAUGAAUGGAGUGUGGUGAUACACCCUAUCCCGAGCUUUUGUCCCCACCAGCAAGAACAUGCUCAGGACAACCGGAAUCUUCUGCGGCAAAAGCUUUAUUGCUUACUUCUUUAGGAACAAGAGGAGAAGAAUAGGGGCGAAUGGCAAAACCCUGUCCCUUUUAUGGAGGAUUGUCCUCCGCCUCGGACAUGUCGCUCCCUGAUUGGCUGCAGCCCAUCAACCGAGUUGUCGUCAAGGGGAAGGCAGAGCACAUGGAGUGGAGAACUACCCCGGCACAUGCGCAGAUUAUUUGUUUACUACUUAGAACACAGGAUGUCGGCGCCAUCUUGUAAUGGUGAAUGUGAGGGUGGCUCCUCACAACAUCCCUUUAAUCCCAGUACUGAAGGCAGAGGCAGGUGGAUUUCUGAGUCUGAAGACAGCCUGGUAUAGAGAGCUAGUUCCAGGGCUAUACAAGAAGACUCUGUCUUGCAAAAAAUGAAACAAAAC